UACAACGCACUACCUGUUCAUAGUAGUCGUUGCUGUCAACAGCACACUGCUCACCAUCAACGCAGGGGACUACAUCUUCUACACAGACUGGGCGUGGACGUCCUUCGUGGUGUUCUCGGUGUCGGCCACGACGAAGCAUGCUGUAGGCGCAAUAUACUACAUGUUAAUGCCAGGGUUUUCAGGCACCACAACCUAUUACGACAUAUCAUGCACCAUCCCAAAUCUGGUGCCGAAGCGUCCACGUCUUCUCCUUUGAUACCUCUGAGACAUCGUUCGGCGGCCAGCGUCAACAAGCACGCUGCCCUACUAUUUUGCGGGUCGCUGGCUGGCCCAUCCUCCCCCCUGUUACACAUGGUACACCUUUUGCCUGUAAGGGACCCGCUCGUGGUGGCCUUCAAGUAUCCGAGACCGACUCUGCCCGCGUACCUGACGCUUAUAGAGCCUCAGGUAGGGAAGUUCUACAACUCGCCUGUCGCCCUGGGUUCAGGUGCCGGUGCAGUGCUAACGGUACCCAUCGCUGCGUUGGGUGAAAAACUAAACACGUGG
rnacentral:rRNA from 1 species